rnacentral:rRNA from 1 species
UACGAAGGGGGCUAGCGUUGUUCGGAAUUACUAGGCGUAAAGCGCACGUAGGCGGACUAUUAAGUCAGGGGUGAAAUCCCGGGGCUCAACCCCGGAACUGCCUUUGAUACUGGUAGUCUCGAGUCCGGAAGAGGUGAGUGGAAUUCCGAGUGUAGAGGUGAAAUUCGUAGAUAUUCGGAGGAACACCAGUGGCGAAGGCGGCUCACUGGUCCGGUACUGACGCUGAAGUGCGAAAGCGUGGGGAGCAAACAGG